rnacentral:rRNA from 1 species
AUACGGAAGGUCCGGGCGUUAUCCGGAUUUAUUGGGUUUAAAGGGAGCGCAGGCGGAGAUGCAAGCGUGACGUCAAAUUUCGGGGCUCAACCCCGUCUCGCGUCGCGAACUGCAUCCCUUGGUUGCGGGAAGGGGAGGCGGAACUCGUGGUGUAGCGGGGAGAUGCAUAGAUAUCACGAAGAACUCCGAUCGCGAAGGCAGCCUUCCGGCCCGUCAACGACGCUCAUGCUCGAAGGUGCGGGUAUCAAACAGGAUUAGAUACCCUGGUAGUCCGCACAGUAAACGAUGGGCGCUCGUCGUCGGCGGCAGACAGUCGGCGGCCAAGCGAAAGCGAUAAGCGCCCCACCUGGGGAGUACGGUCGCAAGGCUGAAACUUAAAGGAAUUGGCGGGG